UCAGCACUCAGUCUUCUUUAUGGUCCAACUCUCACAUCCAUAUAUGACUACUGGAAAAACCAUAGCUUUGAGUACAGGGACCUUUGUCCGCAAACGGAUAUCUCCAUUUUUUAAUACACAGUCUCGCUUCAGAGCCUUAGGAAAACGCAGAGCCUUCAGCGAGAGGUCAUUUCAAGGGAAGUUGCCUGGUGGGCUACUCCAGACAGUGGGAGUGGUGAGCACGGUCAGAUCCUCAGAUGGAGGGCCUCAGAGAAUCCACAAUCUCCUGGACUGGUGACCUUUACACUGAGUUGAGGGAGCCAGAGACCUCUCCUUAAGGACAUACUUGAUUAUUUUAUCUUGUGUGUAAUUGGGCAAAUUCUAGGCAAGUUCUAGAUUUUCGUUAGUACUUAAAUACGUGGAAAUAUUCAUUAUUUAGAUGAACGGGUAUCUGGGAGGGAAGAUACUGAUCAAUGACAAAAUUUCUAAGAACUCUGAGUUCUUUCCAACUGGGAAAGAUUCUACCUCAAGCACAUUCUAUGUCACAUCCUCUGGCGUGAAUGUUACAUGAUUUUCCUUGCUAGGCAACAUUUAGUUCACUGUGAUUUUCUUUGUCUUGGAGUUUGGGUAAUGUGCUGGAGUUCAGGGGGCUAGUGAAACAGCAUGUGAAACAACUGACCAGCUUAAACUGGUUUGACCUUCUCAAAUAGAUUGUUGAUUAAUCACACCUUGAGUCAUUUUACAAGGAAAGAACUGCAUGUGUCCAAGAAGGAACACAUGACCUCAAUAUGACCCCGGAGCCAAGCUCUUCAGUCUGCAAAACUCAGAGAAGAGAAAUAUUGCCCCCGGCCAUUUACAAAGUGAGACCUCCUUCAAUGAGGAAAACCUGGCUUCCUGUAACCUAAGUAGCGAAAAGGGACUAAUUGAAGACUAGCCAAUUAGCUUCCAAGUUAGAAAUUCCCCUGACCCCUUAGAUUGCACCCAGGCUCCUGGGUUGAACAGAGAUUUGAUACCUUGCGUCCUGCAUUUGUAGGCCUUGCAGUAAAGCUCUUUUCUCUAAAACUCUUGCCAUAAGUGUUGACUUCUCUGAGCAUCGGGCAGUGAGCCCAUCUUCCGUGAGUUUGGGCAGCCUUGUUGAGGUUUAGGACUUGUGACCAUCUGCUUGAUGCACUAUAGCCCCUGGUGGGCCUUCAACACCAACCCUGAGUGUCACCUAUACUGAGUUUGUCUAGAGAGUUGGCUCUCAGGUUCCUGUUUCCUAGCCAUGGCACUCUGGGCUCCUCUGGCUUCUGGGGCUCCUUUCACUUUUAAGGAAGGAAACAGCUCCUGGAUCAGACAUCUUUGGGACAUUUAGGUUACUUCCAUAUCUUCCCUGUGAUUCAUGGGGUCGAAAAGAGCCGGACACGACUGAGCUACUGAACUGAACUGAACUGAUAUCUUGGCUAAUGUAAAUAGUGCUGCAAUGAAGACUGGAGUGCAUGUAUAUUUAUGAAUCAUGGUAUUCUCUGGAUAUGUACCAAGAGUGGGAUUGGUAAAUCAUAUGGUAACUCUAUUUUUUGUUUUUCAAGGAACUUCCAUAAUGUUCUCCAUAGUGACUGUGUCAAUUUGCGUUCCCACUGAGAGUGCAACAGUGUUCCCUUUUUUCCACACUCCAUCGUUUGUUGUUUGCAGAUUUUGGGUUGAUGACCAUUCUGGCUGGUGUGAGGUGAUACCUCAUUGUACUUUUCAUUUGCAUGUUUCUGAUAAUUAGUGAUGUUGAGCAUCUUUUCAUAGGCUUUUUGGUCAUCUGUAUGUCUUCUUUGAAGGAAUGUUUGUUUAUACACUCUGCCUACUUUUUAUGGGAUUGUUUAUUUUACACAGAGGUGCAUGAGCUAUUUAUAUAUUUUGGAGAUUAUUGUGCUGUUGUUUGCAAAUAUUUCCUCUCAUUCUGUGAGUUGUCUUUUUGUUUUUGGUUUCUUUUGCUGUGUGGAAGCUUUUGACUUUCAUUAAAGGUCACCUGUUUGUUUUUC